rnacentral:rRNA from 1 species
UACGGAGGGAGCUAGCGUUGUUCGGAAUUACUGGGCGUAAAGCGAGUGUAGGCGGUGUGGUAAGUCGGAUGUGAAAGCCCCGGGCUCAACCCGGGAAGUGCACUCGAUACUGCCACGCUAGAGUAUCGGAGAGGUUGGUGGAAUUCUCGGUGUAGAGGUGAAAUUCGUAGAUAUCGAGAGGAACACCGGUGGCGAAGGCGGCCAACUGGACGAAUACUGACGCUGAGACUCGAAAGCGUGGGGAGCAAACAGG